AUGCACUGUUCCUCCACCGCUGUGGUCAAUGAUUUCCAAAAUCAGGCCAGCCCUUAGACCUAUACCAUGUGACUUUCUGUAAAGCAGAGGUUUGGCUUAUUACUUGGUUAGCUGAGUGGACAAAGCUCUAGUCGUUCAACCCUGAACACAGGUCUGUCUGAACACAGGCAACUGAGCAGAUAAUUUUGUAGAUUCUCUAGUUCUGUAGGAAGUGUCCAAAGUGGAUAUAACAAGCUAACUAUGUGAUCAGAUGACAGAAAGACCCUAAUUAGAAGGACACCCAUGGACCAGCACCUGUAAAAGAGAAGAAACUUGCCAAAGUGAGCAAGGGUAGAUGCCACACAUGGAAGGCAAGCAGGAAAUAUUUCUUAUGUGACUCUCAAAGGGCUGCAUCUGGAGAACAUGAAGAUUUCAGUUUAACUGGCAUUUUGAGGCAUGCACAGGAGCUCACUGUUCUCAAGCUGUGCCAGGAUGGCAGAUUCCUACCUGGUUGAAAAAGAAGGUCACUUACAAAGAGUGCAGUGGAAAGCAAGAGACUAGAGGAAGACUGGCCAGAAAAGGAGAGCUGAGUUCUCUCAUGGAAGACGGUGACAUCAGAAGAAGCAGAGGCUGAGCUGGUUGCCGUAGGUGACAUUUUAAGAGUGAGAUAAGUGAAAUAGCAGGUAAACUCUUCGGAGACCUUUUAUUUUUGAAGGAAAUGUCUCCAACAGAGGCCCAUUGAGAAUGAAAUAAGAGUCUCUUCUUAAACAUGCUUGUCCACAGACAGAAACUAGAACUUUCAAAUCAGUGUUUCUUUAAGUUCAAUCUUCAAAAUGAUACUCACAUUCACCACCUCAAAGAUCCAAAGAUUUCUUUUGCUUCUAGUGGUAAACAUAAGUCUUUACAUUUUUUUUCUAAAUUCUACUUGGGAACAAAACACUUUAUUGAAAAAAUCUUGGGGAGAAGCAGAAAACAAAUGAGCAUAUUUUUCUGCAGCAUAAAACAAUGGAUAAUUUUCCCUUGGUACAUCAAUAUGCACAAACGCUUAUAAAACCCUCACAAAUUCACUCAUGCCUUGUUUUUCUAAACCUGCUGUUAUGUCAUUUCAUGGUGAGUCACUGCUAUUCUAUUCAAUCUGCCUGCUCACCACGGUCUUCAUUCACAUUAGAUCACACAGUAUUUCUCUUUGUAAGAUAGUUCCUUCUUCAGAGCUCUCAUAAUGGAUAAUGUUGCAUUCCCAAGAAUUUCUUCUGGCAUAUGUCCAUAUCUAUAUUUGUGUCUCUAAUUAUCUCACUAUGUAUGUUAUCUCCAUAUCUAUAUUUAUCUGUUUACCUAUUAUCUAUCUCUAUAUCUACAGCUGUAUGUAUCUAUCUCUAUGUGGAGAUCUGUUUCUAUAUCUAUCUGUCUCUGUAUUUAUGUAUCACCUGUCUCUUUCUCUACAUCUAUCUUUAUAUCUGUCUGUGUCUAGACAUAUCUAUAUAAUCUGGAUUUUUUAGCCCCUACUGUGGAGAUCUCUCCAUUACAGAAGACGUUUAAAGUCUCUAACAAUACAUUUUACAUGAAGACUUGAUGGAUUUCUGAUUAAACUGUUGGGGAUUCUCUAGAAAAAAAUCAACAACUUGAAAAGAUUUUUGCUGUAGUUAUUACACAUGCCCUUUAAAGAGAGCCACAGAGGAAUCUGCAGAUAGUAGAGGCUUAAAGGGAAUGAGACUCAAAAAUCUGGUCAGUUUAUGCAAAAGAUGAGAAAUGUUCAUAACCUGCCAACAACCCAGUGAUGUUAUUAAAAUUUGGAAGAACUAAACUUUAUUUCCUUUGGAGAUUAAACAGCUCCCUAAAUGAUGGGAAUAAAUUCUGGAAAUGUUUUUUUAAAGUGAGGAAUUUAAGUUUGCCAAGUUCUUUUUGUGGCUGUAGAGGGAGGCCAGGUUUAUGAGUUUUAUUGUAUACUUCUGUAAGGUCAGAAUGAGGCGUGAUUGAGACCUCUGGGGUAGGCAACGUUCAAGCAACUGAUGAAGAGUUUAUUGCCAUCUGGGUGCAGACGAGCCAAGGGAGAAAAGACCAUUGGCACCAAGAGGAGGGUGCAUGUGGUUGAUAUGUAAGAGUUUAGAUAGGGGAGGGGGCACUGGUUGAGAGAAUGGAAAUUUUCUAGAGUCCCAUGGGUGAUGGGCCUGGGGCUGGCUGAUAAACAGGGCCAUGGUAGGAGCAGCAGGGGGCCGGUGGGUACAGCAAGUCUCUUGUAGUUUUCAUAGAAUCAGCUAAGUGGGGUGGCUGGUGGCUUUCUGCUAUCACUAUGCUCCUGUGGAUGUGGGUAGCAGGUCCCCUUGGAGGGGUUUCCCUUCUCGCUGGGUGGGGGUCCAACUCAGGGGACCUGUCAACUUCCAUAUAAAGAACCAGUGGGCAGAAAGUUUUAUUUAAGUUUCACUCAACUGUGAAUCACAUACUUUUUAUACUUAGGAUCACUAUUUUCAUUCUCAGUGAGCCAGAUACAUUUGUAACAAGUAUUUCAAAUUGUUCAGUUUUCAUUAAAGAGAUUUGUAGUAUUCAUUUGGAUGGAGGUUAUGUCUCCCUAAUUCACUAUUUUAUCCUGGUUCUUAGCACAAAGGCUUGCUCUUGGCAGGGGCCCAAUAGCUAUUUCUUGUCUGAUGCAAUUUCAGUGGAUAAAUGCCCAAGACAUGCAUUCUUGCAGUCACAAAAUGAACCACAUUUCAAUUUUGGAGACCCCAAUGUGGUAAUACAAUUGUACUUCUUUUAUUUAAGUCUAGCAUAUACUUCAUAUUCAAUAAUUUAAGUUAACACAUUAAAAUAUAUUAAGAGAUUCCAUUUUCUCUAAGGUAGGUAUUGGCAAUAUAUGUAUCAUUGUUUCUGACCUCAGUGUGUACACAGUCCAAUGUGAAAGACAAAUUAAUAAAUGAAUAAUCUCACUAUUGUAUUGAAAGUACAAUUGAUGGAGCUAUGGGAAAUGGAAGCGGAGUGAGGACUAAGUAUAAGCAGUUAAGACCAGACACAUCUAGAUUUAAAUUAUGACUCAGUCAUUCAUUCACUAAUUAUAACACAUCAUUUUGUCCCUUUACCUCAGUACUUCAGUAUCUUCAUUUAUACACAGAAAGUACUAAAGCACUUAGCAUAGGAAUGUUACAAAGUUUUGAUGACAUGUGGCAUAUGAAAAGGUUACCGCAGUAUUUGACUCAUUAUUUGGAUGAUUAUUACUGUUAAUCUGAAACCAAGGAUAGUUUUGUAGUGAAGUGAUUCUUUGGUGUUUGCUUUAUAGGAAGCCCCAUCCAAAUGAGGAGGCAGUGGUACAAUGAAGACUAGAUUUGUUUGCCAUACAAGCUUAUAGCACCACUAUGCAUAACAAUGGUAUUUAGUCCAUCUCAUUUUAGGAGAUUAGUUCCAACUCUAGAAUCUCCUGGAGGAUCCUUUCAUACCUUUCAAUUUAUUUCUAUCUUUCUUCUGAG
rnacentral:lncRNA from 1 species